rnacentral:rRNA from 1 species
UACGAAGGGUGCAAGCGUUAAUCGGAAUUACUGGGCGUAAAGGGUGCGUAGGCGGCUAUUUAAGUCUGGCGUGAAAUCCCCGGGCUCAACCUGGGAAUGGCGGUGGAUACUGGAUAGCUAGAGUGUGUCAGAGGAUGGUGGAACUCCCGGUGUAGCGGUGAAAUGCGUAGAGAUCGGGAGGAACAUCAGUGGCGAAGGCGGCCAUCUGGGACAACACUGACGCUGAAGCACGAAAGCGUGGGGAGCAAACAGG